AGAGCCAACAAGGUGAGGACAUUCUCAGAAGUACCUGAGGAGAGGUUUCCACCGCACAUUUCUGUGCCCGGCUCAGGUCUGUGGAGCGAGAAGCUCCAGGUGCGGCUGCAGCCUCAGGAAGUGCUUGUCACAGUGCUCUUCGGUACACUCCCUCCAGCUGAGGACCACUGAUGCUCAGGGCGACCUAACCCGGGUUACCCGCUCCGGUCUGGCCACCAAGUUAGCAAGGGAAGAAGGCCCAAUCCUGGGGACUCAGCAUUGAACUUGGGUCAGAAGUUCCAGAGUGGACGUCCCUCAAGGCUGAAGUGUUGAGGAUUGUAUUCAGAACUGGUGCCCUCAGAAGAAGAGGAAGAGACACCAAAAAGCUCUCUCUCCGUGCGCUCACAGAAGAAAGGCCAGGUGGGGACAGUGAGCAGGUGGCGUCUGCAAGCCAGGAGGAAGGCUCUCACCAGAAACCAGCCCUGCUGACACCUUGGUCAUGGACUUCCAGCCUCCAGAACUGGAACGCUUUGCGCCAGGAGGUAAUCAAGGGCCCCUGGAGGCCAGCGGGCUCCUCGUCUUCAUUGCCUGUGCCAGAGGAGAAGAGUUGGCGUAUCCUUCGUCGUGCCACAGCUGAGUGCACCCAGAACUACAUGACCUCCCCUCACGCUGCAUCUCUGCAGGGGCCUCCUCGGCGCCCUGUCGUGUCCUGGACCCCCACUUACUAGGAGUUUCCGGCCCCAGCAAGGUUUCUCCACCUGUGUCCUCCUACAGCAGUGCUGUCUGAUGGAACUUCGGCAACAAUCAAAAUCUUCUGUAUCUGUUGUCCAGCGUGGGAGCCGCUAGUCUCCAUGUAGCUAUCAAACCCUUGAAACAUAGCUGGUGUGACUGAGGAGCUGAAUUUUAAAUUGUAAUUAAUUUUAAUUUAAAUAAUUACAUGUGGCUAGCAGCCAGCAGACUGGACAGCACGGUUGUAGAAUGUGUGCUCUGUGAGGGCACGGACUGUGUCUUUCCCAUCUUUAGAGCCCUCACGUCAAGUCCCACCUUCUCCUCCAAGCAACAUACUGUACCUCGCAGAAGACGUCUGAUAAAUAUCUAUUGAACUGAAUCCUGGAACCGAGUCCUUGCGGCGCCGUGAACUAGCGUGAGCUCCGGGGAAAUUUCCCUUCAUCUCUGUCUAUUCCUCCAUCUCUUGAUGAAGUAUGUCCUGCACACCAGUUCUGCUCCAACCUGAGGGGAUAUGAAAAUAAAUAAAAGCUAGUCCCCAUCCUUCCAGGAGACACAGUCUCCUCUGGGCAACCAUUCUUUCAGAAGUAAAAUGAGAGGGUUAAUCCUGAAGAUUUCUGAGAUCUCUUCCAGACCUAAGAUUUUGUAAAUACAUUCACUGAAUUGUUUGUUUGUGCCUGUGAUCACUUUGGGAGUUUAUGCAAGUGGAUAAUAAAUCGAUAAAAUGAGGAC
rnacentral:lncRNA from 1 species